rnacentral:rRNA from 1 species
AUGUCUCAAUCUGUAGAAGAACGGACAAGAAUUAAAAACGAACGUUAUGAGUCUGGUGUAAUUCCAUAUGCAAAAAUGGGAUACUGGGACCCUAAUUAUGUAGUUAAAGAUACAGAUGUAUUAGCUUUAUUUCGUGUUAGUCCUCAACCAGGAGUUGACCCAAUAGAAGCUUCUGCUGCAGUUGCAGGUGAAUCAUCUACUGCUACUUGGACUGUUGUAUGGACAGAUUUAUUAACAGCUUGCGACCUAUAUAGAGCUAAAGCUUAUAAAGUAGAUGCUGUUCCAAAUACUACAGACCAGUAUUUUGCUUUUAUUGCAUAUGAUAUAGACUUGUUUGAGGAAGGCUCAAUUGCUAACUUAACAGCUUCAAUUAUUGGUAAUGUGUUUGGUUUUAAAGCAGUAAAAGCUUUACGAUUAGAAGAUAUGCGUAUACCAGUUGCUUACUUAAAAACUUUUCAAGGUCCUGCUACUGGAUUAGUUGUAGAACGUGAGCGUAUGGAUAAGUUUGGCCGUCCGUUUUUAGGUGCAACAGUAAAACCUAAAUUAGGUCUAUCUGGUAAGAACUAUGGUAGAGUUGUAUAUGAAGGUCUUAAAGGUGGUUUAGACUUUUUGAAAGAUGAUGAAAAUAUUAACUCUCAGCCUUUCAUGAGAUGGAAAGAAAGAUUCUUAUAUUCAAUGGAAGGUGUUAAUAGAGCAAUUGCAGCAAGUGGUGAAGUCAAAGGACAUUAUAUGAAUGUCACAGCUGCUACCAUGGAAGAUAUGUAUGAAAGAGCUGAAUUUGCUAAGCAGCUAGGCACAGUUAUCAUUAUGAUUGAUCUGGUAAUUGGUUAUACAGCAAUUCAAACUAUGGCUAUAUGGGCACGUAAAAAUGAUAUGAUUUUGCAUUUACACCGUGCUGGUAAUUCAACUUAUUCUCGUCAAAAAAUUCAUGGAAUGAAUUUUCGUGUUAUUUGUAAAUGGAUGCGUAUGGCUGGUGUAGAUCAUAUUCAUGCAGGAACUGUAGUUGGUAAAUUAGAAGGUGAUCCAUUAAUGAUAAAAGGAUUUUAUAAUACUUUAUUAUUAACGCAUCUAGAAAUUAAUUUACCUCAAGGUAUAUUUUUCGAACAAGAUUGGGCUUCUUUACGUAAAGUUACGCCUGUUGCUUCAGGUGGUAUCCAUUGUGGCCAAAUGCAUCAAUUAUUAGAUUAUCUAGGUAAUGAUGUUGUACUUCAAUUUGGAGGCGGUACAAUAGGUCAUCCAGAUGGUAUACAGGCUGGCGCAACAGCUAACCGUGUAGCAUUAGAAGCUAUGGUCUUAGCUCGUAAUGAAGGCCGUGAUUAUGUUCCAGAAGGACCACAAAUUUUACGUGAUGCUGCUAAAACAUGUGGUCCUUUGCAAACUGCUUUAGAUCUAUGGAAAGAUAUUAGUUUUAAUUAUACUUCUACAGAUACAGCUGAUUUUGUUGAAACUCCAACAGCUAAUGUAUAA